ACACUGGCACUGAGACACGGGCCAGACUCCUACGGGAGGCAGCAGUGGGGAAUCUUGCACAAUGGGGGCAACCCUGAUGCAGCGACGCCGCGUGAGCGAUGAAGCCCUUCGGGGUGUAAAGCUCUUUCGGCAGGGACGACCCAAGACGGUACCUGCAGAAGCAGCUGCGGCUAACUACGUGCCAGCAGCCGCGGUAAUACGUAGGCAGCGAGCGUUGUUCGGAAUUACUGGGCGUAAAGGGUGUGUAGGCGGUUCUCUAAGUUUGGUGUGAAAUCUCCCGGCUUAACCGGGAGGGUGCGCCGGAAACUGGGGGACUAGAGUGCGGGAAGGGAGAGCGGAAUUCCUGGUGUAGCGGUGAAAUGCGUAGAUAUCAGGAGGAACACCGGUGGUGUAGACGGCUCUCUGGACCGUAACUGACGCUGAGACACGAAAGCGUGGGUAGCAAACAGGAUUAGAUACCCUGGUAGUCCACGCCCUAAACGAUGCAUAUUUGGUGUAGGUCAUUCAGUUGAUCUGUGCCGGAGCUAACGCGUUAAAUAUGCCGCCUGGGGUGUACAGUCGCAAGGCUGAAACUCAAAGGAAUUGACGGGGGCCCGCACAAGCGGUGGAGCAUGUGGUUCAAUUCGACGACACGCGAAGAACCUUACCUGGGCUCGAACGGCUUCUUAACGAGGGUGGAAACAUCCUUAUCCCGCAAGGGAGUGGAGUCGAGGUGCUGCAUGGCUGUCGUCAGCUCGUGUCGUGAGAUGUUGGGUUAAGUCCCGCAACGAGCGCAACCCUCGUCCUGUGUUGCCAUGCCGAAAGGCGGAACUCGCAGGAGACCGCCAGCGAUAAGCUGGAGGAAGGUGGGGAUGACGUCAAGUCCUCAUGGCCUUUAUGUCCAGGGCUACACACGUGCUACAAUGGCCGGUACAAAGCGUUCCCAAGCCGCGAGGUGGAGGCAAUCGCAGAAAGCCGGUCUCAGUUCGGAUUGCAGGCUGCAACUCGCCUGCAUGAAGCUGGAAUCGCUAGUAAUGGCGGAUCAGCAUGCCGCCGUGAAUACGUUCCCGGGCCUUGUACACACCGCCCGUCACAUCACGAAAGUGGGUUGUACUAGAAUCUCGCAGGCUGACCCGCAAGGGAGGCAGCGGUCCAAGGUAUGACUCAUGAUUGGGGUGAAGUCGAAACAAGGUAGCCGUAGGAGAACCUGCGGCUG
rnacentral:rRNA from 1 species